UCAGUAUUUAUACAUUAUUAUUAUGAGAAAUAUGCUUAGAGUUAGUGAAGAAAUUCCUUAAUCAGUACUUUUAUGCUGUUGAGGAUUAGCUAUUAUUCUAACAGCCUAGUUUUGAUUUGUUUUCAAUGCAAAAGAAGAUAUUAGUGUUUCAUUAUUGAAAGAAAUACAAAAUAUUAUUAUGGUUGUUUUUCUGAAAACUUCUUGCAGGCAUACACUCAGCAUAAAAGGUGUACUGGUAGGAUCGGCCUUCUGUCAAGAUUGGUAAAGUGAACUACUCAGGUGUUUCUUUUGUGUUGCUUGGGACAAAGACAUUUGACUUCAGUUGGGGAAAGACAGAAAGAUAAAGGCAAAGGAAAUAAGAAAAGCUGCUAAGGCUACUGACUCUCACGCCAAGUGAAAGAAGACUUAAGGCCGAAGAUCUUUUAUGCAGGCUGAUUGCUGGUGAAGAUAUUCCAAACGAACGGCUUAUUAUAAGAUGUCUGCCAGAUAUAUCCCAACAUACUGGUCUCCCUGUUUCACCUGGAGAGGUUGUAUUGGAACCCAUCGGUCUAAGAGUUGCGCAUGGUAAUGCUAAUGUAACAGGUCCAGAAGUACUGAGAACACAGAUAAUAUGCAUAUGUAAAAAGUAUAUGUGAUCCAGUUCCUUCGGACAAGACCAUUCGCAACCAUGUAUGCAAUGCCAGGAAUGAGAGGGUGUUAGACGAACAAACAAAAUUAAGAGUCAGGGUAAUAAUACAUGACACUACUGGUUUACAUUCAGCUUCAUAUUACCUGUCAUUUAGCAAUACAGAAUGUACAUAAAAUUGUGUUUUCCAUCUAUGUAUCGUCCUGUUCUGUUUAACCUCUCACAAGAAUUAUGAUACUCACCAGAUUUACACAGAUACCUUUUCUGAAAAUAUAAGGAUUCACAUCUAAUUAGAUUAUUAUUAAACAACUGUUCUAAUGUUUUCAUUUUUUAUCUCCGAAAACUACAGAUCUUUUGGAAGGAAUUCACUUUCAUAAAGGACUGCAGUUGGUGAAGAUGUCAACAAUUAGAAUAUAUAGUUAAACCUGACACUUCCCUUACUGCCUUAGCUGGCAAAGCUCUGUUUAAAAGUCUUAAGCUUCUAAGAUCCAAGUCAAAUGGUGCUGUCUAACAGUUACUGCUUGUAUUCCACUAAAUAGUUGUUUGUAUUCCACACAAUAGCAUUCUUUCAAACACAUUAAAAGAUCUAAACAGGAUUUCUAUCAAAAUAGCAACUCUUUAUUAUACAUCAUUUGCCUCACAGAUUUAUGUAUGACCAAACUUUGUAAAUAUGGUUAAAGAAAGAAGACAACUCAAGUUUACAACGCGUUCUGUAUUAAAAUACUUCUUCAUUUUAUUAAUUAGUCAGAGUUUUCUGACUUAGUUUUGAGACAUCAUUUAAAUGAUUUGUUUUCUAUUGUAGUCCAGAAUAUUUUAUUGUGUUCCAUGACAACACUGAUAACAAUUAUUUUUAUAAAGGAUUGUCCUUGAUUUUUCCAGAACGUUCUUUUUAUUCCUAGUGUUACAUGACAAUUCUAGAACCUUCCAUGAUACAAUACAUAGGACACUAGGCCAGAACUUAGAGUAUAGAGCUUAGGUGGUAUGAAAGCGUUCCUGUAUUUCAUAAUAACAAAAUAUUACCAGUUUGAAUAUUUGAUAUUUUGAAGGAUUAUUUGAAGGAUUUACUGAAAAUUUGUGGAUUUAAAAAGUCAUCUCUGAAGAAAGGAAUUAUAAUUUUUGGAUAUACUACAUUUACUUCUGAACUGUGAGAAAUAUUGUUUACUUUAUUCUGAUUGGAUUUAAAUUUGGCAUGGACAGGAUUUGGACUAUUUUUAUUUUACUGCUCUUUGACAUUUUUAAGGUAUUUGAAUUGUCACUUAAAUUCAUGAAUGAAAUUUUGUUAUUGUUAAUAGUUGCUGGUUUGUCUUACUGUUACUUUUAUUUACUGUAACAAGAAAUUGUUACCCUUGACGUAACAAUACAUUGUACUUUGUAAACUGAAUUAUAGUCCUUAUCAUUAUAAAUUUCAGUAACAGCUCCUGCAUUUAUAAGAUUGAACUGAGAACAGUUUCAUGAAUAAUAAUAAUUUUGUGUUUUAAAACAUGCCCAUAAUAGUUGUCUCUAUGAAAUACAUGUAUAAGCUGCUUAAAGCAAAAUUCUUUACCAGAUUUUCUGGGAUACUUGAGCUUUCCAGCAAAUAUUAUACAAAUGACCAAUGUAUGACCUGACUUACAGUCACUUAUUCUAUAGAAAGUUAUUUUAGUUCAUAUCUUUGUUACAGUGUAAGCCUUAGUGGAGAUAAUAUAUUUGUAUUAAAUUUAGGAUCAUUUUAAACAAAUGUUAAAUUGUUGAAUUCAAAUGUAUAUGAGGUUUGUACUAUCACAUUAUCAUGUUGUAAAUUUAAAUGUUCUGUUAUACUGUUCAUGCUACCUGAACACUACACAUUGAUUGCAUUUGAUAUAUUUUUCCUUAUACAC